rnacentral:lncRNA from 1 species
AUUUACUUAUUUUGUUAAAAAAUAUAUGGUUAUUUUUACAAAUUAGUGAAUAUAUUAUAUUUUUAGUUCGUUUUGAAAUAAUAGACCUAAAUCAAUUAAAUUUUUAUACUUUUAUUCAAAAUUUAAAUGAAUAUAAAACCAAAAAAUUAAACUUGUUUUUUGACAUAAUAAAAAAAGAAGAAACUACUUAUGUUUUAAUAUUUUUUCUUAUAGCAAAUAAUAUAUUUAAUUUACUUAACCGAUUUUUUUAUUUUUUCUAUUUUGAUAAGCCGAUUGUUUGUUUAUAUAAUUUUAUCAAAAGUAUAAAAGAGUAUCAAAUAAGCAAAGCCCAAGCAUUUCUGCAAAAACAUUAUAAUAAAUAUAUGAAAUAUAAAAAAAAAAAUAACAAAUCCAAUUUAUAUUACAUUUUUUUUAUGCAUGUAGUGAAUUAUCUAUUAGUGAAUUAUGUCCCUCUCAGGUAUACAAUACUAAAGAUGUUAGUACAGUCUAAACAAGAUUGCAAGUACAACUUUUAUUUUUAUUCUUACAAAGCUUUGUAUAAUACAAAUUUUAAGACGCAUAUGUAUACUGACAUAUUUGACACUUGCGAUGAAUUAAUAAAUGGGGAUAAAUUUGAAUAUGCAAAAAAUAUGUUAAAUAAAAUUUAUGAAUCAGUUUCGGUGUCAACUAAAUAUGUUUUUUCAUACCAGAAAAAAUAUCUUGAAAUAAAUAAAUUUAUUUUAUUACAUUAUGUGUGUUUAAAACAAUUUUUAUAUAUUAUAAAAGAAAGAAAAUCAAUAAAUGAUAACUAUAUAAUUUUGUUAUAUCAAAUAUCACUUUCAUAUAAUUAUUCGAAAGUUCUAUUUCUUUUAUUUCUUUUGAAUUAUUCAUAUUAUUUUCAAUCGCGUUUAAGUAUUUAUGAACAGAUAUCUAUACUGAUGGUGUGUGUAUUUUUAAUAAAUGUUUUAAAAAAAGAACUAAAUGAACAACAAGAUAAAGAAGAAAAAAAACAAACAAAAACGAUAAUAAAUAAAACAUGUGUAUAUGAUUAUAUAAAAAAAAAAAAUAUGGAAGUUAAAGAAGUUGUUUAGGAAUAAAAAAAAAG